rnacentral:rRNA from 1 species
GAUGAACGCUGGCGGCGUGCCUAAUACAUGCAAGUCGAGCGAACAGACGAGGAGCUUGCUCCUCUGACGUUAGCGGCGGACGGGUGAGUAACACGUGGAUAACCUACCUAUAAGACUGGGAUAACUUCGGGAAACCGGAGCUAAUACCGGAUAAUAUAUUGAACCGCAUGGUUCAAUAGUGAAAGACGGUUUUGCUGUCACUUAUAGAUGGAUCCGCGCCGCAUUAGCUAGUUGGUAAGGUAACGGCUUACCAAGGCGACGAUGCGUAGCCGACCUGAGAGGGUGGUCGGCCACACUGGAACUGAGACACGGUCCAGACUCCUACGGGAGGCAGCAGUAGGGAAUCUUCCGCAAUGGGCGGAAGCCUGACGGAGCAACGCCGCGUGAGUGAUGAAGGUCUUCGGAUCGUAAAACUCUGUUAUUAGGGAAGAACAAAUGUUUAAGUAACUAAGCACGUCUUGACGGUACCUAAUCAGAAAGCCACGGCUAACUACGUG